AUUGAACGCUGGCGGCAGGCCUAACACAUGCAAGUCGAACGGUAACAGAAAGCAGCUUGCUGCUUUGCUGACGAGUGGCGGACGGGUGUGUCAUGUCUGGGAAACUGCCUGAUGGAGGGGGAUACCUACUGGAAACGGUAGUUAAUACCGCAUAUCGUUGCAAGACCAAAGAGGGGGACUUUCGGGCCUCUUGCCAUCGGCUGUGCCCAGAUGGGAUUAGCUAGUAGGUGGGGUAACGGCUCACCUAGGCGACGAUCCCUAGCUGGUCUGAGAGGAUGACCAGCCACACUGGAACUGAGACACGGUCCAGACUCCUACGGGAGGCAGCAGUGGGGAAUAUUGCACAAUGGGCGCAAGCCUGAUGCAGCCAUGCCGCGUGUAUGAAGAAGGCCUUCGGAUUGUAAAGUACUGUCAGCGGGGAGGAAGGGAGUAAAGAUAAUACCUUUGCUCAUUGACGUUACCCGCAGAAGAAGCACCGGCUAACUCCGUG
rnacentral:rRNA from 1 species